AGGAACUUUUAUUUUGGAAAAAGAACUGCUGCUGUUUCAAGACAUGCGCACUAGCUGCGACAUCUAGUGACGACAUUUACCGGGCUUUAACGGUUGUUGCUGCAUGAAGUCUGCUGCAAUUUCUCUGAGAUUUCUCAAGAUCAUCAGUUUGGACAGAAUUCAUUUGAAGAAUUAAUAGCACUAGCAGGUUCCAAUAAAGGCUGGAACAGAACAGACAGAAAAGAAUCUGUCAGAAGAAAUUCAACUACUGUUCGUGCACCAGAUGGUGAAGUAGAAAAGUUCGUAAAAACUUCUGCAGCUUGCAUCUGACAGAGAUGCAAAAAGAAUAAGAGAGCGGGCCUGAAAACAAGCAAAUUCAAGUCUUUCCUUCUUUUAGGGUACACUUGAGGAGUGUCCAGAUGUUUAUUAAUGUUUUAUUAAUAUUCGCAGCUGGACACAUCCUUCUACACUGUAUGCAAACAUGCAACAUCAUUACACACAGUACAAGGAGUCAGACUGGCAUAUGAGGAGCAAAGGAACCCAGACAGUAGCAUCGUUUCACAAUGUUUCCAUCACCAUCAUCAGUGGAUGCCUUUGCCGUCCGUAGCCUGAGAUUUCAGAUUUGCAGCAAAAAAAUUGGAUUUUCUCAUUUAUUGGAAUGCUAUGCAGGUUGUACCUUGCAGCCAUCCAUUACAAUGUCACCAAGCCGUAACAAAAGCAGGAGAGGGAAAGUACAAGGCUAUGUUCCC